AUUCUGCCCAGUGAAUUUUUAACGGCCGCGGUAGCCUGACCGUGCUAAGGUAGCAUAAUAACUUGCCUCCUAAUUAGAGUGCUAGAAUGAAUGAAUAAACCUAGGUGAUCCUGUACCUUGAUAUACUAUAAAAAUUAAUCUUUAGGUGAAAAAGCCUAAAUAAUAUAAAAAGACAAAAAGACCCUAUCAAGCUUCAUAUUUUAAUUUUAUCUUCUAACAUAAAUAUUUGGUUGGGGCGACUAAUGAGAAUUCCUCAUCUCUCAUAAUUAUAAAGAAAAAUAAUUCUCUUAUCUUAAAAAUAUAAUAUAAAAAAGCUACUGUAGGGAUAACAGGCUAAUAUCUUCUUAGAGACCAAAUUAAAGAAGAUGCUUGGCACCUCGAUGUUGGCUUAGGAAUCCUUUAUUUCGCAGAAGAAAUAUAAGAUGGUUUGUUCAACCAUUAAACUCCU
rnacentral:rRNA from 1 species